UCAAAAAUGUAGUAGCACGCUGCGCUUAGUGCUUGUAAGACCCUUAAAUGAGUACAAAAUAUGGCUUUUGCCUACACAAUAAGUUCUAUUAUACAAUUACGUAAGUUUGCAAAACUGGCGUUUCUAGCACAUUUUAUUGCUACAAAAAAUCGUGUCUGCAUAUACAUAUAGCAUAUUAUUUACUGCAUUCUACGUAAGUUGAAACACUUGAAUUUCAAUGAAAUCCUCGAAUCUUCGACUGCGACUAUUGCGUGUUUGAGUUAGAUAAACCCACACGCACAUACACAAGACGUAGCGAGCCAUAUUGAACGUAGAAAACCACUACUAAGGUAUCUAGGUAUGUCUGCCGUUGGAGGCUCACUAAUUGGUAGCAGUGUACUUUUUUAAUUAAGUUAUACUGUUUUUUAUCUACAUGUAUACAUUUAAUGUAUAUUUUUUUAAAUAUUUAAACAACAAAUUUACUCACUCUUUUUUAAUAUUUUCAAAAAAAAAUUUUUAUUGUUCACAUAUAUGUAUGUAUGUAGGUAUUAUUUCUAUGCUUUAAUGCCUGUAAGCACAUACAUACAAAUGUUUAUAUGUAUGUAUACAUAAGUAUGUCUAUUAAAGAAUCAAUACGUUUUUCUCUUCAACACUCUUAAAAAUUCACGCAUAAUUUACAUACGUUCAAGCGCUUGCAGGCGCAAACACCUAUUUGCAUUUUCCACUUAACAACAACAAAAAAGUCAUGUAAAAAAUAUUUAAUUAUGCAAAUCGUUGUGGCCGCGAUGCAUGCAAAUAAAGCCACAAACUCGUGAAUUACGUCGCUCUGGCAUUCGAUCAAUGCGAGCAAUAAAAAAAUAUUAAAAAACCAGAAAAAAAAGUAUUAAAAAAAUAAUAUUAAAUAUCAAAUAAAAUUUUAAUUAAAUAUACGAAAGUAACAAGUCAUCAUCAUCAAGAUGAGAUUUGCAAAAAAAA